UUUUCAUUCAACAACAGGACAUAACUCUUUUCUCUCUAUCUUCCCUCUCAAAACCCUAGCGCAGCCAUGUCUGAAGUGGAGAUUGCUUGAAGUGGAUUUUACGGCGGCGGAUAAACACGAAUCAAAUGAUUCUUCUUCACUCCGAUUUUUUUAUAUGUUCUUUGACUCUAUCCUUUUUUUAGUAUGAAAAUCCUAACUCGCAUCUUUGAACAAUCGAUGCCAUCCAUCUUCUUGAAACCUGAAUCAGUUACCCUAGGUUUAGAUCAUUCAUUUUGUUGAUUUUUCUUGAAAUCCUUCUUCCAGAUCAUCCAUUAUGGGCCAGAUCUGUUUCUUUUUGCUGCUAUUUAUAAUCCUAAACCUCAUUUUCCCCCAAAUUACAGCUUGAUCAUUUGAUCAUCGGUAUAGGGUAGGAGAUAAUGCACUUUUAUUCAGCAAUAUUGUUGGUCCCUUGAACAAUCCCAGGGAUAUUAAGUUGUUAGAUGAAGUCAAUGGCUGUUUUAAGACGGGCAACAAAAGAAGAAGGGUGAGAGAAGUGUAGCUCAGACUUCUUCAAAGAAAGUGGUGAUUGUGGGUUGUAACGGGUCAGAAGAGAGAUACAGGAGACAAAUCGAUAGAGAGGGACUGGCGUUGGGGAACUUCAUAUCAGUGAAAUGAAUCAGACGAUGAUGGGGUAAGAUGAGUCAUUUUCUGAUUGAAAAGAAGAAGCGAGAUUUAGCUAUCUAGAUGCUGGCAGCUUUCGUAUUUUCCGUCUUUUUUCAGAUGUUGAAUUGCGGUCUGAUGAGCUGGAGAUACACUCAGAGGUCAAAGUCCCUUCAUUCGAAAAGCUCGGACGGUGUAAAAUUACAAGAAAUUCGGAUCUCUGUUCUGCAACAUUGCAAAAUAAGAGUCUAAAUGUAAUAUUUGUUGACGGGACCGAUGUUCCAUCUGAAGAUACAAUCAUGAUUAGGUGUGGAAGUGAGAUAAUCCCCGGCCCUGUUUCUGAUGGCUAUUUGAGUUACAGAUUUAAAGUGAUGCCGAUGAAUGAGUCCUCCAAGAAGGUGUUACAGGCCAAGGAAGAAAGAUAAACUUAGGCUUCGAUAGCCUUGUGGAGAGUCAUAUAAUGAUGUAAUACAAAGGUUGGAGCCAUUUCUUACAGAGCUUGAACGGCAAAGUGCACCCGGCGUAGUUGUAUCUUACCAGGGCUUUAAUUAUCUUAAAAGCAAACCCCCUACACAAGGCUCUGACAUGCACGACUGCGCGACGUCGACGCAGGCCAAAGUUAGCCCGACACCAUCUUCAUUAACAUCUUUAAAGUAAUUAGAAAUGAGGACUUUUUUGGGGUAGACCUGGUCCGACCCGCUAUUCUAAAAGCUUUACAUGCUUAUUUUGCUGAUAGGCCAUCGAAAGAAGUUCCACACACGGAGGUAACCAACAUAUUAGAUCAAUCAUUUCAGUUUUGUAACCUUAGAAAACACCAUUAAUGCAUUUUUUUUUUUUGUCAGAAUUAGAUCAAUCAUUCAGUUAUCCUCCAUUUUUUUAUUUAAGAAAAAAAACAUCAUAAUUAAUUGAGCUUUAAUGUUUGUAACUGUUCUCAUGGCUUUACAUCAUAUUUGAGCCUUUGAAAAAAAAUAAUGUUAAUUCAAUUGCCAAAAACUUCAAUAAAUUGGUAUAGAGAGACAAUGAUUAUUAUGUUGGAAAUGGUACGGAGGAAGGUGAGACUAGAAAUCCUCUGGGCAAUUAGAUGGGCAAUUAGAUUUGAAUACUGUGAACAUGUUUUAUUAUAUCAUCUUGCACCUAAUUCGCUAUUUGAGAGAUUUGGUGAACAUACUGAAGGCACCUUAGGUAGUAAAUAUGGUUUCUAACAUUUAUUAAUCUUUUUGGCAUUUCUAAUUUCCUUCUUCUAUAUGGGUUAAUCUUAGACAUCUAUUAGCAACUCGUGAUCAAGAGCUACGAACACUUUUAGUUGAGGUAGUACUCAUGUUAAUUGGUUAUGUUAUUUACUUUUGAUCUGUUUGGUCAUUUCACAUUUUUUCUUUAAUAGUAAAACAUGUAGCCCAUUUGGCCCGUUUCCAUAAAGUACAAUUACAAUUUGAUCAUUUUUCAUUAUUACAUUUAAUAUGUAAUCAGUGGCGGAACUUGACUAAAAGUUUCGAGGGUGCGUAAAGUGAUAGGACCCAAAUUUUUUUUCCUGUCGUUAUGUUUUAGGUCGGGUCGGCUAUAGAUUCGAGUCAAGUCAAAUAAUAUUAGUUCCAAAUAAAACUAAAAAAUUUCGUUCAUUCAAAGGACCCGUUCUUAGACAUAAAAAUUUGUGAUUAAGUUUAUUGUGUGGUGGGUAACCUAGGGUUAAACAAAUAAGAGUUAAAAUAUAUUUACAAAACUACACAUCACUUAUAUACAAAGUGGUAACAAACUUUACUUUAAUUUAUAUAUUGUAUAAAUAUUUAGGAAAUAUAAUUGGGGGGAGACGAUCCUAUAUAAUUUUUAAAAUUUCCGGACAAAAAAUCGAAACCUAUACACUUCUAACCGAAAUAUUGGGGUGGGCGGGUGCACCCCCGGGCACCAACAAACCUUCGCCCCUGUAUGUAAUUAUUUAUUAUAGGGAGUUACAUAUUGUUUAUUGCAUCAUUUUUUAGAUGAGCGUUUUGGUUUUUGAAGGCAACAAUUGUAUCGUGUUCUAAAAGAGUUAUAUGUAUUGUUUGAUAACUUUUUUCUCUUGAUCUUCUUUAGCCAAUCAAAUAAGUAAGGAUGAAGAACAAGAUAAGGGUUAUAACUUUUUCUUAUAUCGUGUAUAUACUGUUCUAAAAGAGUUAUAUGUAUUGUUUGAUAACUUUUUUCUCUUGAUCUUCUUUAGCCAAUCAAAUGAGUAAGGGUGAAGAACAGGAUAAGUGUUAUAACUUUUUCUUGGAGUAUGCAGCUGACGGUCAGAAAGAAUCGAAACUGAACUUACUACCCGAAGCCAUUAGAAAAUUUGCGCAUGGAACUGGAGAGGACAGUUGGUUGUGGGGUCUGGAGAGCUGGGGAAAUUUCUAAGUUAAGAUCUUGAAACACCAUAUUUAACGGCUUUCUUUUACAGAUCUGGGCAUUGAGUUUGUAUGGAACAAGUGGAGUCCGAUUAAUGUUAAUUUUGAAGACGGGAAUGUUUAAUUAAGAUAUCUUAUUCGUCAUGCAUUAUUCACUUGUAUAAAACAAAAUAAAGUUUGAAAACAUGUCUUUUUUAUUUUA